UUAGGUAGAGGUUGCAAACAACAAGAGUAUCUUAAAGGAGCUAGACGAAGCGAUGAAUUUAAGUGAAAGGGAAGUUUGCCGAAAUAAAGAUUAUGUCAAAAAUCUUUGUUGGGCUUAUGGAAAAUAUCCAUAUGACUGUCAUCAGAGAGAGUCUGAUGUUGUGCUAUC
rnacentral:ncRNA from 1 species